rnacentral:rRNA from 1 species
CUAUUAUUUUAAGUGUUAAUUUUGCUUACCUGGGUAGUAUUAGUUAGGAUCUUAAAACCCAAAGAAUUUGGCGGUAUCUUAUUCCAUUUAGAGGAACCUACCCCGUAAUUGAUAAUACACGAUUAACUUUACUUAAUUUAUUUGUUUGUAUAUCUCCGUUAUCAGAAAAUCUUUUUGGAGUUAUAAUUUUCUUAAUUUGUAAUUUUAAAAUAUUUCAGGUCAAGGUGCAGCUUAUAAUUAAGAGGAGGUGGGUUACAAUAAAUUUUAGUUUAUUACGUAUUUAAUAGUGGAAUACUAUUAAUGAAGGUGGAUUUAAUAGUAAUUUAAUUUAUUUAAUUUAAUUGAUAUUGGCUCUGGGGUGUGUACACAUCGCCCC